GUUCUGAUAGCUCAGUUGGUAGACCAUGAGAUUCAUAAUCUCAGCACUGUGGGUUCUAGCCCCAUGUUGGGUG